rnacentral:rRNA from 1 species
UACGGUGGGGGUAAGCGUUGUUCGGAAUUACUGGGCGUAAAGGGCUCGUAGGCGGCCAACUAAGUCGGACGUGAAAUCCCUCAGCUUAACUGGGGAACUGCGUCCGAUACUGGAUGGCUUGGAUUUGGGAGAGGGAUGCGGAAUUCCAGGUGUAGCGGUGAAAUGCGUAGAUAUCUGGAGGAACACCGGUGGCGAAGGCGGCAUCCUGGACCAACAUUGACGCUGAGGAGCGAAAGCUAGGGGAGCAAACGGG